GAGUUGAGGAGCUUCCGCACGUGCGCCACCUGGUGCUUGGACAGGCUGGUGGAGUUUCUGAAGACGCGGUCGCACUGGGAGCACUGGUACUGCUUCUCGCCGCCGGCCGCCUUGUUCUUUUUGGCCGCGACGUGGGCGGGGACCUGGGCGAGGCCGAGGUCGGGCAGGGCGAGCGGGGGGGGGCGGGGCCUUGGCGGAGGGCGCGGCUUUGCCUUUGUGGAUGAGCCGGUGCCGGGACAGGCUGGAGCUGUGGUUGAAGUGCUUGCCGCAGGCGUUGCACGUGUGCAGCCUCUUGCUCUUGUGGCUCUUCUUGUGGAUGGCCAGCAGCCGCUUGCCGUUGCAGCGCACGCCGCACACGUUGCACUGCAGCGUCUUUUUGUUCUCGCCCGGCUUGCCGUACUCCUCUUUGGGCGGCCCGCCCUGCCGGUUUCUCGUGUGGGACUGCACGUGCCGGGAGAGGCUGGAGGAGUGGCUGUAGCCCUUCCCGCAGAUGUGGCAGUAGUAGGGCUGAGUUCUGGUGACGCCCUUGUCCCAAGCCAAGACCGCGCCGUCCUCGUCCAUGCAGCCCAGCUGACUGAUCGCGGCCUCGGUCAGGUCUUCCGUCUCGGAGUCGCUCCGGUCCGGCUGGGGCACCUCCACCGACGUCACCACGUCCUCGCAUUCGGGGUACACCGCCUCGUACUGGGCGAAAAACGUGUCAUCGGCCUCGCCCUUAACCUGGCCCGGCGUGAAGCAGGAGCCCUCCUCCGCGUCCUUCUUCACGCAGGAAAUGGUGAACUUGGAGCCCACCUCCGCCCACUUCACCACGUACUCGAUGGGCUGCGUGUCCAGCUCCACCGUGAUGAAGUCGGCGCCGAGCGCGUCCGGCUCGGCGAAGGUCAGCUCGGUCUCUGGGUCCUCCAUCAGGGCGGGUUCCUGCAGGCCCUCACUGCCAACGCCGCUUCACAAGCCCGCCGCCGUCUAAAACCACAAGGAGGGCAGAGGAACAGCUCAACUUCAACAACAUGA
ensembl:lncRNA